GACCAAGUUGGUAUGGUACGCUCUUUCUCCAUGAAGCAAUGUCUCUCCCACCAGGUCUCCCCCUUAACUAAGCAGACAGCCCUGCCUCCACCCAGGACUGGCCCAGCCUCAGAGCUCCCUCUGUGCCUCAGGAGCCUCUGGGAGAGUUUGCCAUCAGGGUGUGCCCCAUUUCCGCCCAACAGGGAGGCUCCCGGAGAAGCAGGCGGAGGUCAAGGGCCAGUCAGCCCAGUGCCGCUGUGCUGAGUCGUUUUGACUGGCACAUACACCUCAUCUCUUCCCAUCCAUCACUGAGCCUGCGCCCAUGGUCUGAGGACAGCCAUGCCUUACCUCUACCGGGCCCAGGGCCUCAGGAGCCUGCCACCCCCAAAGAGGCCCGCAUCAUCUACUCUUCAGGCCAGAGCUUCGAGGAGCUGAGGCAGGCGUGCCUGGAGAAGGCGUCCUGUUUGAGGAUGUGGACUCCCCAGCCAACAGCACCUCUCUAUUCUACAGCGAGCGGCCCCAGAUCCCCUUUGUGUGGCCAUGGCCAGGGUUCUUUGCGAAACACCACAGGGAACAGAAGGAAGCAUGAGACUCAAUCUUGUCCUCAAGCAUAGUUCACCACUAGGACGCCCCGGCGGUGCGGUGCUUAGGACUCCAUGCUCGCAAGGCAGUGGUCCCAGGCUCCCCCUCUCUUUAGGGAACUAGAUCCUGCGUGCCACAGCUGAAAGAAGAAAACAAACAGAAGCCCCUACAUCCUGCAGCUAAAAAGAGCCUACCUGCAACUAAGAUCUGCAGCCAAGGCGAAUACACAGUUUUUGAAAGCAUGGCUUACCAUCUAUUGAGGGGAAAAAUGCAUACGUGCACGUGAAAGAUCAGCAACCAGAAUGCUGCACGCUCUAUCACAAGCACCAGCACCAGUCCACAGAGUCUGGGAGAUCCCAGGAAGGUGUCUGGGCUGGAACGCUGCGGUGUGGUGACUGGGUCUGAGGACUGGCCUGAUAUAAAGGAAGAAGCAGUGAACUGGGGGACCGGGCGUUCGCUCCACCACCGACUGUUGGACCCGAACUUAAUUUCCCUCAUCUGCAAGCUGGGAACCAUGAUUAUAAUAAUAUUUCUCUUCCAUUUCAAUUUGUGAAUCAUACAAUCAGAUGUGGUUAUAUAAAGAUGUUCUGAAAACGCUAAAAAAAUUCCAA